rnacentral:rRNA from 1 species
UACGUAGGCAGCGAGCGUUGUUCGGAGUUACUGGGCGUAAAGGGUGUGUAGGCGGUUGUUUAAGUUUGGUGUGAAAUCUCCCGGCCCAACUGGGAGGGUGCGCCGAAUACUGAAUGACUUGGAGUGCGGGAGAGGAGAGUGGAAUUCCUGGUGUAGCGGUGAAAUGCGUAGAUAUCAGGAGGAACACCGGUGGUGUAGACGGCUCUCUGGACCGUAACUGACGCUGAGACACGAAAGCGUGGGUAGCAAACGGG